rfam:Lactobacillus dextrinicus DSM 20335 NODE_6, whole genome shotgun sequence.
GUUUGUCUUCAGGGCAGGGUGUAAUUCCCGACCGGCGGUAAAGUCCGCGACCUACAGCGAUGUAGUUGAAUUGGUGUAAUUCCAAUACCGAUAGUAUAGUCUAGAUGAAAGAAGACAGUC